rnacentral:rRNA from 1 species
AGAGUUUGAUCCUGGCUCAGGAUGAACGCUGGCGGCGUGCUUAACACAUGCAAGUCGAACGGGAAACCUUUUAUUGAAGCUUCGGCAGAUUUAGAUUGUUUCUAGUGGCGGACGGGUGAGUAACGCGUGGGUAACCUGCCUUAUACAGGGGGAUAACAGUCAGAAAUGACUGCUAAUACCGCAUAAGCGCACAGGACCGCAUGGUCCGGUGUGAAAAACUCCGGUGGUAUAAGAUGGACCCGCGUUGGAUUAGCUGGUUGGUGAGGUAACGGCCCACCAAGGCGACGAUCCAUAGCCGGCCUGAGAGGGUGAACGGCCACAUUGGGACUGAGACACGGCCCAGACUCCUACGGGAGGCAGCAGUGGGGAAUAUUGCACAAUGGGGGAAACCCUGAUGCAGCGACGCCGCGUGAAGGAAGAAGUAUCUCGGUAUGUAAACUUCUAUCAGCAGGGAAGAAUUAGGACGGUACCUGACUAAGAAGCCCCGGCUAACUACGUGCCAGCAGCCGCGGU